rnacentral:lncRNA from 1 species
CCUGGUUCCCUGGUUCCCUGGUCCCCUGGUUCCCUGGUGCCCUGGUUCCUGUUCCCACGGCUGCCGCAUCUAUUAUGCCCGCGCCCCUCCUGUUCCAUGAAGGUUCUGGAUGGAGGUCUCAUGAGGGAUUCGGGCAGAGGCUGAUGAAAACAUAAAACAGGCCAGUCUCCAGAUUCAAGGGAGAGCUGGAGACAGCAUUCAUAGCUUGACCAGGCAGCUUUGACCAGACCCUUCGUAAAGGCGUGACCUGCUUCAAGAAACACGAUAUUUGAAAAUAUGAAAUCUACACAUCGAGACACAUUAAGAGUGACUGUUCGCAUGACAAAAGGGUUUGCCACUUUACAAAAGAUUCAUCCCAGUGUUUCUUAAAGAACCAUACAACUGUGAUGUAUUUUAAAUGUCUUUCAAUUAAAAGAAUUGAC